UACGAAGGGGGCUAGCGUUGUUCGGAAUCACUGGGCGUAAAGGGCGCGUAGGCGGCUUUGUAAGUCGGGGGUGAAAGCCUGUGGCUCAACCACAGAAUUGCCUUCGAUACUGCAUGGCUUGAGACCGGAAGAGGUAAGUGGAACUGCGAGUGUAGAGGUGAAAUUCGUAGAUAUUCGCAAGAACACCAGUGGCGAAGGCGGCUUACUGGUCCGGUUCUGACGCUGAGGCGCGAAAGCGUGGUGAGCGAACAGG
rnacentral:rRNA from 1 species